rnacentral:rRNA from 1 species
GAUGAACGCUGGCGGCGUGCCUAAUACAUGCAAGUCGAGCGAACAGAUGAGGAGCUUGCUCCUCUGACGUUAGCGGCGGACGGGUGAGUAACACGUGGAUAACCUACCUAUAAGACUGGGAUAACUUCGGGAAACCGGAGCUAAUACCGGAUAAUAUAUUGAACCGCAUGGUUCAAUAGUGAAAGACGGUUUUGCCGUCACUUAUAGAUGGAUCCGCGCCGCAUUAGCUAGUUGGUAAGGUAACGGCUUACCAAGGCAACGAUGCGUAGCCGACCUGAGAGGAUGAUCGGCCACACUGGAACUGAGACACGGUCCAGACUCCUACGGGAGGCAGCAGUGGGGAAUCUUCCACAAUGGGCGAAAGCCUGACGCAGCAACACCGCGUGAGUGAUGAAGGUCUUCGGAUCGUAAAACUCUGUUAUUAGGGAAGAACAAAUGUGUAAGUAACUAUGCACGUCUUGACGGUACCUAAUCAGAAAGCCACGGCUAACUACGUG